rnacentral:rRNA from 1 species
UACGGAGGGAGCUAGCGUUAUUCGGAAUUACUGGGCGUAAAGCGCACGUAGGCGGCUUUGUAAGUCAGAGGUGAAAGCCUGGAGCUCAACUCCAGAACUGCCUUUGAGACUGCAUCGCUUGAAUCCAGGAGAGGUGAGUGGAAUUCCGAGUGUAGAGGUGAAAUUCGUAGAUAUUAGGAAGAACACCAGUGGAGAAGGAGGCUAACUGGAAUGGUAUUGAAGAUGAGGUGAGAAAGCGUGGGGAGCAAACAGG